UACGAAGGGGGCUAGCGUUGCUCGGAAUUACUGGGCGUAAAGCGCACGUAGGCGGCUUUGUAAGUUAGAGGUGAAAGCCCGGGGCUCAACUCCGGAAUUGCCUUUAAGACUGCAUCGCUAGAAUUGUGGAGAGGUAAGUGGAAUUCCGAGUGUAGAGGUGAAAUUCGUAGAUAUUCGGAAGAACACCAGUGGCGAAGGCGACUUACUGGACACAUAUUGACGCUGAGGUGCGAAAGCGUGGGGAGCAAACAGG
rnacentral:rRNA from 1 species